rnacentral:tRNA from 1 species
GGAGGGGUGCGAGAGCGGCCGAAUCGGNNCACCGUGGGUUCAAAUCCCACCCCCUCCG